rnacentral:tRNA from 1 species
ACUUAAAUAAUUUAAAUUUAAAAUAUUGAUUUGUGGUUUCAAAAAUAUGAUAAAUAUCAUUUUAAGUU